GUCCAGACUCCUACGGGAGGCAGCAGUGGGGAAUAUUGCACAAUGGGGGAAACCCUGAUGCAGCGACGCCGCGUGAGCGAUGAAGUAUUUCGGUAUGUAAAGCUCUAUCAGCAGGGAAGAAGAUGACGGUACCUGACUAAGAAGCCCCGGCUAACUACGUGCCAGCAGCCGCGGUAAUACGUAGGGGGCAAGCGUUAUCCGGAUUUACUGGGUGUAAAGGGAGCGUAGACGGCGAUGCAAGCCAGAUGUGAAAGCCCGGGGCUCAACCCCGGGACUGCAUUUGGAACUGUGUGGCUGGAGUGUCGGAGAGGCAGGCGGAAUUCCUAGUGUAGCGGUGAAAUGCGUAGAUAUUAGGAGGAACACCAGUGGCGAAGGCGGCCUGCUGGACGAUGACUGACGUUGAGGCUCGAAAGCGUGGGGAGCAAACAGGAUUAGAUCCCCCAGUA
rnacentral:rRNA from 1 species